ACACCCUCCUCACCGAAUUGUCCACCCACCACCGAUUUGGUAAAGUUUGAGUGGUAAACUAUUGUUGAUGGUGGUGUUUACCGAGUGGCAAACUCUUUUGCCGACCUUUGCCGACUCCCACUCCUAACACCCUUACCACUGUCGGCCAAUCAACUUAUCCACCAUCACUCGCAAACACUGACCACCUCUUUGUUAUACCACUGCUGAUCACUGUGACACCUUCUUUCAUCACCACCGUCGACCAUUGUCGACGAGCUCGUUUAACCACCGUCGAUUUUUGCUGUGCCGGGUGUCAUAGGAUCACCGUCAACCUCCGAUUACCCCAUUGUUAAUCACCGUCGGCCGACCACCCUUCACCACAUCCAUCUCCGACCACCUGUACCGCCGGCUGAUAACCAAUCACCUCCUUUCUCUCCUCCGUCCGAUCCCCACCACAAUCACAACAUCACUUACCUGUUUCCGAUUAAACAUUACCCACCUGUCAACGACCACCGACUCCCGUGAACCCAUCAUCUUCUUCUCCGCCAACGACCACCGUCCUUUUCCCGCAUAUUCACCGACAACCACAUCCACCGUGACUUCUGAUCACCGUCGCCCCCAUAUCCACCAUCGAUGGACAGCUACCGACGACUACCCAUAUACAUCACCUCUGGCAUGUAAGUUGAAGAGUGAAUCCAGGUUUCGAUCAGUUUUGUCCAUACUCAAUCUCCGUUUGGACGAAAGUGGUUCAAACGAUUUCCAGACAAGUGUCCCGUGUUGAAGCAGCCACGAACGAAAUGCUAUACGGUUGCGGUGGAACGAGGCUCACAUGGAUUCAACCGCGUCAAAUCAGGGGAGAAGGAAGGGGCAUAUUUUGAAUUUAAGGGCCAUAAGGUUAAUAAUAUGUUGGGCUUUGGCAAAGUCAAUUGGGCAAUUGGGAAGCAAGUGCACGUGGGCUCCUUUAUAGCACUUCGCAGUUAAAGUCGGUGAAUAAAAGGUUUUGAUGGCAGAAUAAAAAGAGUCACAGCCGUCGCACAAGAACCCCGAGGACGAAUUUGAAGGUCAUUAUUCAUCUUCCAAGCCAAUCCAUGAAGUCUAACCUAAUCGGGAUGACAACCGAAAUGGCAAAGACAACCAUGAGUGGCUAAGCCUCUCCUGACUUCUACCCGGAUGAACUUUUGCUUUGUUUUGCAUUAAACUUUGUUUACGGAUUCGUGUAACUGGUACAGCUUGACCACUUGUGCUGGAUUAUUGGUAAACGUUUCUUGUUGAAUUACUUGUCGUUUAUUAAGCGUAUUGGCA
rnacentral:lncRNA from 1 species